UUGGGGCUUGAAGAGAUUGUAGGCGAUUUGUCGCGUCUACUGUGAAAGCCCGGGGCUCAACCCCGGGUCUGCAGUGGGUACGAGCAGACUAGAGUGCAGUAGGGGAGACUGGAAUUCCUGGUGUAGCGGUGAAAUGCGCAGAUAUCAGGAGGAACACCGAUGGCGAAGGCAGGUCUCUGGGCUGUAACUGACGCUGAGGAGCGAAAGCAUGGGGAGCGAACAGGAUUAGAUACCCUGGUAGUCCAUGCCGUAAACGUUGGGCACUAGGUGUGGGGGACAUUCCACGUUUUCCGCGCCGUAGCUAACGCAUUAAGUGCCCCGCCUGGGGAGUACGGCCGCAAGGCUAAAACUCAAAGGAAUUGACGGGGGCCCGCACAAGCGGCGGAGCAUGCGGAUUAAUUCGAUGCAACGCGAAGAACCUUACCAAGGCUUGACAUGAACCGGAAAGGCCUGGAAACAGGUCCCCCACUUGUGGCCGGUUUACAGGUGGUGCAUGGUUGUCGUCAGCUCGUGUCGUGAGAUGUUGGGUUAAGUCCCGCAACGAGCGCAACCCUCGUUCUAUGUUGCCAGCGGGUUAUGCCGGGGACUCAUAGGAGACUGCCGGGGUCAACUCGGAGGAAGGUGGGGACGACGUCAAAUCAUCAUGCCCCUUAUGUCUUGGGCUUCACGCAUGCUACAAUGGCCGGUACAAAGGGUUGCGAUACUGUGAGGUGGAGCUAAUCCCAAAAAGCCGGUCUCAGUUCGGAUUGAGGUCUGCAACUCGACCUCAUGAAGUUGGAGUCGCUAGUAAUCGCAGAUCAGCAACGCUGCGGUGAAUACGUUCCCGGGCCUUGUACACACCGCCCGUCAAGUCACGAAAGUUGGUAACACCCGAAGCCGGUGGCCUAACCCCUUGUGGGAGGAGCCGUCGAAGGGCC
rnacentral:rRNA from 1 species